AACGCACAUUGCGCCCUCUGGUAUUCCGGGGGGCAUGCCUGUUCGAGCGUCAUUACAACCCUCAAGCUUUGCUUGGUAUUGGGUGUUACCAUCAGUGGUACACCUCAAAAUCAUUGGCGGUGCCAUCUGGCUUCUAGCGUAGUAAUACUUCUCGCUAUGGAGUUUGGGUGAGCGCUUGCCAUCAACCCCUAAUUUUCAAAGGUUGACCUCGGAUCAGGUAGGGAUACCCGCUGAACUUAA
rnacentral:misc_RNA from 1 species